AUUGAACGCUGGCGGCAGGCCUAACACAUGCAAGUCGAACGAGUAGCGGACGGGUGAGUAAUGUAUGAGAAACUGCCCGAUGGAGGGGGAUAACUACUGGAAACGGUAGCUAAUACCGCAUACCCUCGGAUGUGCCCAGAUGGGAUUAGCUUGUAGGUGGUGUAAAGGCUCACCUAGGGGACGCUCCCUAGCUGGUCUGAGAGGAUGACCAGCCACCCUGGAACUGAGACACGGUCCAGCCUCCUACGGGAUGCAGCAGUGGGGAAUAUUGCACAAUGGGCGCAAGCCUGAUGCAGCCAUGCCGCGUGUAUGAAGAAGGCCUUCGGGUUGUAAAGUACUUUCAGCGAGGAGGCGUUACUCGCAGAAGAAGCACCGGCUAACUCCGUGCCAGCAGCCGCGGUAAUAC
rnacentral:rRNA from 1 species